rnacentral:rRNA from 1 species
AACGAACGCUGGCGGCAUGCCUAACACAUGCAAGUCGAACGAGACCUUCGGGUCUAGUGGCGCACGGGUGCGUAACGCGUGGGAACCUUCCCUUAGGUUCGGAAUAACUCUCCGAAAGGGGUGCUAAUACCGGAUAAUUUCUUCGGACCAAAGAUUUAUCGCCUUUGGAUGGGCCCGCGUUGGAUUAGCUAGUUGGUAGGGUAAAAGCCUACCAAGGCGACGAUCCAUAGCUGGUCUGAGAGGAUGAUCAGCCACACUGGGACUGGGACACGGCCCAGACUCCUACGGGAGGGAGGAGUGGGGAAUAUUGGACAAUGGGCGAAAGCCUGAACCAGCAAUGCCGCGUGAGUGAUGAAGGCCUGAAGGUUGUAAAGCUCUUUUACCCGGGAUGAUAAUGACAGUACCGAGAGAAUAAGCUCCGGCUAACUCCGUG